rnacentral:lncRNA from 1 species
AAUUCAUCAGUGUCUUUCCCAGAGCUUUCCUGCUGCUGCCUUUGGGAUUUUCCUCCGAGCUUUGAGGAUUUCCUAUAGCACAAAGAGCUGAAGCCAUCUGUGCUGUACCCUAUGACAACCGAUGGUACAGACACAGGAGUGAAACUUGAGAAUAACACAAAUUCAACUACUUUUUUUUUAUUAUUAUUUCAGGUCAUGGAGGCUUCUGGCUCUGAAUUUAAAGCUGAAGACAAUCAAGAUCUUGGUGACAGAUGGUAUUUAUCAAAGGGCCACCUGGGAGCUGGCUGGUUGCUGCGCUGCAGGGUGCCUGGGUGGUCACACGAGCAUCUCUGUGAGGAGCCCCUUGGAGCCUGCAGAAUGGGAAGCUUUCCAGGGAUCAGACUGGGAUGUGACUGAGAAAUCAGACUUUGUACUUUCUUAGGCGCUUCUAGUGGGGUAAGCUGCCCGUGGCUCCCCUUGCUCAGAUGAAGACGCUGCUGUCUCCUCGUGCUGGUGCAGCUCCCAGCCCAGGUAACUCCCCAUGGAGGACUUGCACUUUGUUGAGGCUUAGGCUGAGCAUCGUGGUUAAACAUGAGAAAUGCAUUCAGAGCAGUGUGAACAUGCUGGCAUCUUUAUUAGUGUGAAGCAAAGAAGAUGGGGAGGUGCUGCGAGAAGGGUCCCGAAGACCUCUCCUUUCUGUGGGGUAGGAGAACCCCUAAAUGUAGGAUGUGUUUGGUUGUAGGGAGCUGGACUUGGGGGCUGAUUUGGUCACUAAGAAUACUGCCCAAUUUCAUAUUAUUGAUUAAUGAGGACUCAUUUGAUAGCAUUAGGCAGCUCUUUACUUAUUAAAGGUGAAAGCUCGCUGCCUCUAGCACUGAUGUGCACCCUUCCCUGCUCACUGUGUGCCAGGCUCUGCAAUGUCGUACCCUACAUCCCAUGGCUGGUGCCAUGGCUGGUGAUGGGCUGAGUUAGCUGAUGCUGUGAGGGUGCAAAACCAAGAGGAGAAAAACAACAAGCCCAGAAGGCUCCUUCCUUCACCCAGUAAGCUGUUUCCCUGGCAACACUGAGUUCUCACAGUGCAACAGCUCUGGGAUCACCCUUCCCAGAGAUACCC